rnacentral:rRNA from 1 species
UACGUAGGGGGCUAGCGUUGUCCGGAUUUAUUGGGCGUAAAGCGCGUGUAGGCGGCCGGCUAGGUCUGGUGUGAAAACUCGAGCUCAACCUCGAGAUGUCGCCGGAAACCAGUCGGCUAGAGUCCGGAAGAGGAGAGUGGAAUUCCUGGUGUAGCGGUGAAAUGCGCAGAUAUCAGGAAGAACACCUAUGGCGAAAGCAGCUCUCUGGGACGGUACUGACGCUGAGACGCGAAAGCGUGGGGAGCGAACAGG